CNGCCUCCAACCAAGCAGCACUUCCUGUGUC
rnacentral:piRNA from 1 species